rnacentral:rRNA from 1 species
CAGCCGCCGCGGUAAUACCGGCGGCCCGAGUGGCGGUCACUAUUAUUGGGCUUAAAGCGUCCGUAGCCGGGGUGGGAAGUCCUCCGGGAAAUCUGGCCGCUUAACGGUCAGAAUGCCGGAGGAUACUCCCAGCCUAGGGGGCGGGGGAGGCCGAGGGGAUUCCCGGAGUAGGGGGGAAAUCCUAUAAUCCCGGGAGGACCACCUGUGGCGAAGGCGCUCGGCUGGACCGCGUCCGACGGUGAGGGACGAAGGCCAGGGGAGCAAACCGGAUUAGAUACCCGGGUAGUCCUGGCGGUAAACGAUGCGGACUUUGUGUCGGACAAGCUAUGAGCUUGUCCGGUGCCGGAGGGAAACCGUUAAGUCCGCCGCCUGGGGAGUACGGCCGCAAGGCUGAAACUUAAAGGAAUUGGCGGG